CACUGCGGAAGAGAGGGAAAGGCUGCUGUUGGUGUGAUGACUUGGCUAACAGGUUCCAGGUUGUCAGUCUUGGCAGCAACUGCCUCUAUUCAGUGAACCAUCUCAUCUGAGCAUUCCCUAACGCUUGACUAUUGAUGGAAUGUGAUCAGUUGCCUCAAGUUCCCCUGGCUGUGACUUCCCCACUAGGAUGGGCUGCAACUUCAAACGCUCAGGCACAGCCCUGGAAGAGAGAGCUCAGUGCGACACCGCUCAGUAGCCGUUUCCCCUGAUUGAAACACCACCUCCUGGCUGAGAAGAAUAUAAAGCUGGGGGAGUGAACGAAACUCACAAGGCUCAAGGAGUAAACAGAACUGCAAGGCUCCGGAAGCUUUCCCAGCUCAGCAUAUUCACAAGACCCUUCCCCGACCCGAGGAUGGAGGGUGGGGUGGGGGUGGGGAGG
rnacentral:lncRNA from 1 species